AGAGUUUGAUCCUGGCUCAGAAUCAACGCUGGCGGCGUGCCUAACACAUGCAAGUCGAACGAGAAAGUGGAGCAAUNNNUGAGUAAAGUGGCGCACGGGUGAGUAACACGUGACUAACCUACCCUUGAGUGGGGGAUAACCUAGGGAAACCUGGGCUAAUACCGCAUAAUACCUACGGGUCAAAGGAGCAAUUCGCUCGAGGAGGGGGUCGCGGCCGAUUAGUUUGUUGGCGGGGUAACGGCCCACCAAGACUAUGAUCGGUAUCCGGCCUGAGAGGGCGCACGGACACACUGGAACUGAAACACGGUCCAGACUCCUACGGGAGGCAGCAGUGGGGAAUUUUGCGCAAUGGGGGAAACCCUGACGCAGCAACGCCGCGUGGAGGAUGAAGUACUUUGGUACGUAAACUCCUUUCGAUCGGGACGAUAAUGACGGUACCGGAAGAAGAAGCCCCGGCUAACUUCGUGCCAGCAGCCGCGGUAAUACGAGGGGGGCGAGCGUUGUUCGGAAUUAUUGGGCGUAAAGGGUGCGUAGGCGGUUUGGUAAGUCUCGUGUGAAAUCUCUGGGCUCAACUCAGAGACUGCACGAGAAACUGCCGGGCUUGAGUAUGGGAGAGGUGAGUGGAAUUCCUGGUGUAGCGGUGAAAUGCGUAGAUAUCAGGAGGAACACCUGUGGCGAAAGCGGCUCACUGGACCAUAACUGACGCUGAUGCACGAAAGCUAGGGGAG
rnacentral:rRNA from 1 species